GCAAUGCGAAGUAUGAACCGACCCUCGCACCUCCUCGGCUCCCUCAGCACCGCAGGACAGCACUGCAGGGGUGCACAGGGCCGGCCUGGGCUGGCUGGGGAGACUGGACCCCCUCAGGUCCCGACAAGGAGGCCGAGAGCCCUAAAGUGUGUCCCCACAGCACCCAGGCUGGCCUGGCCCCCAGGAGGUGCUGCACAGCUGUUUAUGGAGGGGAUGGGUGAACGCGCAUGGGGUCAGUGGACAUGGGUAUCAGAUUGAUGUCCGGGAGGGGCUGCAUGUAUGUGGGGUGGUGACCUGGGAUACCACGAGCGAGUGGGAGGCUGAGCGCAGGAGCCAGACGCUGCUACAGCCCAGAUGUCUAUGCUUCACGUACAGCCCUGUGACUGCACAGAGCACAGAUGAAGGGCUGGAGCCAGAGAGGGUAUGUAACUCGCUCAAGGUACACAGCAGGUAAGUGCAGGGGUCUGUACAUGUGUGGAGUCCGGAGGAAGCCAGAGUAAAGGGCUGGGGGUGGGGGGCAGCGAUGUGAGACACUUGAGGAAACCAGAAGGCCCAGAGCUGUGGGGCUGCCUGGCAGGGGAGGAGCGAGACACAGGAGGACGGGCCAGACAGGCUGGCAGGCGCUGGGUUGUGUGGCUGCCAUGAGGGGUCCGAUCUGCUGUGUCCUGUUUGUUGGAUUUCCAGGCCGUGUGUCCUUUGUAGAAGUGAUUUGAUGCAACAGAGUCCCUGGAGUGCUGUGUGCUGACCGGUGGAUAAAGCCUUCCAGCAUAGGGAGACCCCAGGUAGUCACUGGAGCCCCAGGACUUCGGAUAACCAUCUCCCGUCCACCUGGAGUGGCAGUGGCUCAAAGUGACAACAGCUGCAUACUCAGCACUUGCAGAAGCCAGCUGGACACCAUUUGUCUUCCAAUUUAAAGACCAAGAAACAGAGAAACCAAGCAUAAAGUGGUGUCUUGCCUGGGGUUUCUUCAUCCUUGGGACCAACUCAGACAUCCAUGGCAGUUUUGGACCCUCGGCUCCAUCAGGUGCUUACUUAGUAUUUAUUUUAUUGGCUGGAUCUUGAUUUGUACCCUUGAAUGGGCUGGAGCUUGCAAUCCUCCUGUCUCAGCCUCCCGAGUGCUGGGGCUACAGUACACACCCACUGUUUUUAACUUCCUUCUCAAAAGUAUGUUCGCAAAUGUCAACACCACUUGUCUCGCUGGCUUAGCCCAGAAUCCUGACUAGAAUCCUAUUAUUGGGCACGGUGGCAUACUCCUGUGAUCCCAGCAUUCGGGAUGCUGAGGCAAGAGGAUGGUUGCGAGUUCAAGACCAGCCU